rnacentral:rRNA from 1 species
UCCAGACUCCUACGGGAGGCAGCAGUGGGGAAUAUUGCACAAUGGGGGAGACCCUGAUGCAGCGACGCCGCGUGAGUGAAGAAGUAAUUCGUUAUGUAAAGCUCUAUCAGCAGGGAAGAAAAUGACGGUACCUGAGUAAGAAGCCCCGGCUAACUACGUGCCAGCAGCCGCGGUAAUACGUAGGGGGCAAGCGUUAUCCGGAUUCACUGGGUGUAAAGGGAGCGUAGACGGCGACGCAAGUCUGGAGUGAAAGCCCGGGGCCCAACCCCGGGACUGCUCUGGAAACUGUACGGCUGGAGUGCAGGAGAGGUAAGUGGAAUUCCUAGUGUAGCGGUGAAAUGCGUAGAUAUUAGGAGGAACACCAGUGGCGAAGGCGGCUUACUGGACUGUAACUGACGUUGAGGCUCGAAAGCGUGGGGAGCAAACAGGAUUAGAUACCCUGGUAC